UACGUAGGGGGCUAGCGUUGUCCGGAAUCAUUGGGCGUAAAGCGCGUGUAGGCGGUCCGGUAAGUCCGCUGUGAAAGUCGGGGGGCUCAACCCUCGGAUGCCGGUGGAUACUGUCGGGCUCGAGUCCGGAAGAGGCGAAUGGAAUUCCUGGUGUAGCGGUGGAAUGCGCAGAUAUCAGGAGGAACACCAAUGGCGAAGGCAGCUCGCUGGGACGGUACUGACGCUAAGGCGCGAAAGCGUGGGGAGCAAACAGGGAGUUAAGAAACCCUUGGAUACGUC
rnacentral:rRNA from 1 species